AAAGUUGCACCAAAGAAGGUGAUAGUCCUGUACAAGUAGAAAGUUAAUAAAUUCUUGAGUAAGGCGGAGCACGAGAAAUUCUGUCUGAAAAUGGGGAGACCACUCUCCAAGGCUAAGUACUACUGAUUGACCGAUAGUGAACAAGUACCGUGAGGGAAAGGUGAAAAGCACCCCUAUAAGGGGAGUGAAAGAGAACCUGAAACCGAAUGCUUACAAGCAGUCGGAGGGUCUUUAAGGCCUGACGGCGUACCUUUUGUAUAAUGGGUCAGCGACUUAGUGUAUGUAGCAAGCUUAAGCCGAUAGGUGUAGGCGUAGCGAAAGCGAGUUUUAAUAGAGCGAUAAGUUACAUGCAUUAGACCCGAAACCGAGUGAUCUAGCCAUGAGCAGGUUGAAGGUUGGGUAACACCAACUGGAGGACCGCACCCAUAUCUGUUGAAAAAGAUAGGGAUGACUUGUGGCUAGGGGUGAAAGGCCAAUCAAACUCGGAAAUAGCUGGUUCUCCGCGAAAACUAUUUAGGUAGUGCGGUGAGCGGACACCUUGAGGGGUAGAGCACUGAAAGAGCUAAGGGGGAGCGAUCCUUACUAAACUUUAUCAAACUCCGAAUACUCAAGAGUGAUACUCACCAGACAGACAUUAGGUGCUAAGGUCUAGUGUCGAGAGGGAAAGAGCCCAGACCGUCAAUUAAGGUCCCAAAAUUAUGGCUAAGUGGUAAAGGAAGUGAAUUGUCCAAAACAGUCAGGAGGUUGGCUUAGAAGCAGCCAUCCUUUAAAGAAAGCGUAAUAGCUCACUGAUCUAAACAAGACGAUUUGCGCCGAAGAUGUAACGGGGCUAAAGCCAUAUACCGAAAUUACGGAUUUACACGUAAGUGUAAGUGGUAGCGGAGCGUUCUGUAGGCCUGCGAAGGUGAACCGUAAGGUUUGCUGGAGGUAUCAGAAGUGAGAAUGCUGACAUGAGUAGCGAAAAGAAGAGUGAGAGACUCUUCCGCUGAAAGUCCAAGGUUUCCUGCGUAAAGCUAAUCUGCGCAGGGUUAGUCGGCCCCUAAGGCGAGGCAGAGAUGCGUAGUCGAUGGGAAUCAGGUUAAUAUUCCUGAACCAACUAGGAAGUGACGGAUUCAGUAAAUUGUAUGUCCUUAUUGGAUUGGAUAUGCAGUGAAUGAGUUCCAGGAAAUAGCCCUAGUAUAGACCGUACCCCAAACCGACACAGGUGGACAGGAGAGAAUACCAAAGCGCUUGAGAGAACUAUGUUGAAGGAACUAGGCAAAAUACUUGCGUAACUUCGGGAUAAGCAAGCCCCAUUUUAAGGCAACUUAAGGUGGGGGGCACAUACUAGGGGGUAGCGACUGUUUACUAAAAACACAGGACUCUGCUAAAUUGAAAGAUGAAGUAUAGGGUCUGACGCCUGCCCGGUGCUGGAAGGUUAAGGAGAGAUGUGAGAGCAUUGAACUGAAGCCCCAGUAAACGGCGGCCGUAACUAUAACGGUCCUAAGGUAGCGAAAUUCCUUGUCGGGUAAGUUCCGACCUGCACGAAUGGCGUAACGACUUCCCCGCUGUCUCCAACAUAGACUCAGCGAAAUUGAAUUCUGAGUUAAGAUGCUCAGUACCCGCGGUUAGACGGAAAGACCCCGUGAACCUUUACUAUAGCUUUGCAGUGGUAUUAGGUGACAAAUGUGUAGGAUAGGUGGGAUGCUAUGAAGUUAUGACGCCAGUUGUAAUGGAGCAGACGUUGAAAUACCACCCUUUUGUUAUUUGAUAUCUAACCUGCUUCCCUGAACGG
rnacentral:rRNA from 1 species